CUUUUUAAUUGAAGGCUGGAAUGAAGGGUAGAAACUAAUAGGAUUGUUUUGUUUAAAAAUUUUGAAUUUAAAUUAAAGGUAAAAAUGCUUUUAUUAAUUUUUAGGACGAGAAGACCCUAGAAGCUUAAAAUUUAAGAAAUUUUUGGUUGGGGCAACUUAUGAAGAUAGCAAUUUUUAUUAUUGAUUAAUUUUUGAUUAAGGAAGUUACUCUAGGGAUAACAGCGUUAUUUAAUUAGCAAGUUCUUAUUAAGAAUUAAGUUUGCGACCUCGAUGUUGAAUUAAUUUUUAUUUUUGAUGAAGGAAUUAGAAAUUUAUAGUCUGUUCGACUAUUAAAGAAUUACGUGAUCUGAGUUCAGACCGG
rnacentral:rRNA from 1 species